rnacentral:misc_RNA from 1 species
UGUGUCAUUGCGCUAUAUCCACGAACAAAGUUUGGUAGCGUUUGCGUUCUUUUUCUUCUUCUAUUUUUUGACCUGAGGAGAGUGUCCUAUUGUAGCCAGUUUGUAUUAGUGUUUGCAUUGAUAACGUCAAUAACGUUCCUCAAAACGCACUCUUUAUAUCUAGGAUCAUGACAAUUUUUGUGUGGCGGCCUUAAAGCAUUUGCAAAUGGUUGCUAUGUGACAAUUGAACUAACUCUCUAUAAUAUUAUGUAUUUAUGCUUAACGUGUUUAUACGUGUGUAUAUUGGCCAUUGUAUAACUGUACUUAUAUAUCAACGUGUAAACGUUUACACAACGAAGUAAAAACGUGAUUUUUUAAGCCACUCAUAGUUUUGCAGUUUAAAAAUUUCAAAGGUAUGUUUACAUAAAUGUGAAGGAAUCGCAAGAAUCUUCGUGUGGCUGGUAAGCAUUGGAAAUUGCAUUCGUGUUCAUCCUUGUGGCAAUAUAAUAUCUUACCAAUUAUAUACAAUUAUAUUUUAUUUUACGUCUAUAGCACGUCUUUACAACAUAUCGGUUUUUACAAUUACAUCUACUAUAAAGAAGCUGGUUUGCUUACAUAGUUUAGAACAUGAUUGUUAAAUACAAAAUAACCUUGUUCUAAGAAGGUUAAACGGUCAAUUGAUACGACGUAUAAUAUCCGGGAUAUAAAUUUAUCGUGUCUUACAUAAUAAGUCGCAAUCGUUAUACGGAUAAACUAUCAGCUUUUUAACAUGUGGGUAUAUUGCUAUUAAGCCAAAUGGAGGAGACUUAACCGGAGAAUUGCAAUCAAUUGAGUUUAUUCUGAAUCAUGUCGUACUAUGAAGAUGUUAUUCUGGAAGCUAAAGAAAAAGAAGAAAAUUUGUCAGGAGAUUUAGGUGUAAGACAUCGUAUUCCAUGGAGUGAUCGUGUAUUAUUAAAUAGUGAAAUACCUGGUUUACAUGAAGUUAAAGAAUUAUUGGACGAUGAUGAUGCUAGUUGUUUGGCAGAAGAAGAAGAUGGAGCUGGGUGUCCUUUGCCCUCAACUCCGGAAGAUGAUCAUCUCCUGGAUUGUGAGAUGACUGAAGUAUUGAAAGCAGGUGUAUUGAGCGAUGAAAUAGAUUUAGGAGCAUUAGCGCAUAAUGCAGCAGAACAGGCUGAAGAAUUUGUUCGAAAGGUAUGGGAGGCAUCCUGGAAACAAUGUCACUUUAGAAAUCUGCCAAGAUGGUUGCAAGAUAACGACUUCUUACACGCCGGCCACAGGCCACCGCUACCUUCGUUUUAUGCGUGCUUUAAAAGUAUUUUUCGAAUUCAUACUGAAACUGGCAAUAUCUGGACACAUUUGUUAGGCUGCGUUGCCUUUAUUGGUAUAGCUAUAUUUUUUCUAACACAACCUCCUAUAGAAAUUCAAUUGGAAGAAAAAUUGGUAUUUGGUACCUUCUUUGCUGGUGCUAUAAUUUGCCUAGGAAUGUCGUUUGCCUUUCACACAGUUCAUUGCCACAGCGAAUGUGUUGGAAAGCUAUUUUCAAAGUUAGAUUAUUGUGGCAUAGCUAUGCUUAUUAUGGGUAGUUUUGUACCAUGGCUUUAUUACGGAUUUUAUUGCGACUAUCAACCUAAACUAAUUUAUCUGUCUGUGGUGGUUGUCCUUGGUAUAACCAGUAUCGUAGUAUCAUUGUGGGAGCGAUUUGGUGAACCAAAUUAUCGUCCACUCAGAGCAGGAGUUUUUAUGGGAUUUGGUCUUAGUGGGGUAAUACCAGCAGUACAUUAUGCUGUUGCUGAAGGUUGGUUUAAGGCGAUUAGUCAAGCAUCCCUUGGAUGGUUAAUACUAAUGGGAUGUUUGUACAUAUUAGGUGCAUUGUUUUAUGCUUUAAGGGUACCUGAACGUUUCUUUCCAGGAAAAUUUGAUAUUUGGUUUCAGAGUCACCAAAUCUUCCAUGUAUUAGUGAUUGCUGCUGCUUUUGUUCAUUAUCAUGGUAUUACGGAAAUGGCAAUGCAUAGAAUGACAAUAGGCGACUGCACAAAUCCGUCGCAAGUGUUAGCUUUUUAAAUCUGCAGGUGUAUAUCCUCAUCUUGUUGAUAACUUUCAUCUCAUUACAUAACCGAUACAGGAAAAGACUUCAAGGAUUCCUAAAUCUUACGCCUUAGUGAAUCUGUGCUGUUCUUGUAUAAUUUUCAACAUUGCUAAACUUAUCUUGGACGAUGGUUGUCAAAAUCGUCUUUUCUCCAUUAUACCAGUUAUACCAUUUAUUACGGGAUAUACUAUUUAUUACGGGAUACUCUAUGUACACAAGAUAUUUAUUUUUUUAGUUUAUCUUAGAAUACUAUUGAAAAUGUU